rnacentral:rRNA from 1 species
GACGAACGCUGGCGGCGUGCUUAACACAUGCCAGUCGAACGGAGAAGCUCCAGCUUUCUGGCGUACUGGUGUGGCGAACGGGUGAGUAACACGUGGGAAAUCUGUCCUCCACUCUGGGGUAAGCCUGGUAAACUGGGUCUAAUACAUGAUAUAACCUUCCUCCGGGUGGGGUCUGGUGGAAAGUGUUUCUGUGUAGGAUGAGCCCGCGGCCUAUCAGCUUGUUGGUGGGGUGACGGCCUACCAAGGCGACGACGGGUAGCCGGCCUGAGAGGGUGAUCGGCCACAUUGGGACUGAGAUACGGCCCAGACUCCUACGGGAGGCAGCAGUGGGGAAUAUUGCACAAUGGGCGCAAGCCUGAUGCAGCGACGCCGCGUGAGGGAUGACGGCCUUCGGGUUGUAAACCUCUUUCAGCAGGGACGAAGCGUAAGUGACGGUACCUGCAGAAGAAGCACCGGCUAACUACGUG